AGAGGAGUGGCAGAGUGGUCGAUUGCGGCGGUCUUGAAAACCGUUGACUGUAAAAGGUCCGGGGGUUCGAAUCCCUCCUCCUCUG
rnacentral:tRNA from 1 species